rnacentral:rRNA from 1 species
UAGAGUUUGAUCCUGGCUCAGAUUGAACGCUGGCGGCAGGCUUAACACAUGCAAGUCGAGCGGAGAUGAGGUGCUUGCACCUUAUCUUAGCGGCGGACGGGUGAGUAAUGCUUAGGAAUCUGCCUAUUAGUGGGGGACAACAUUCCGAAAGGAAUGCUAAUACCGCAUACGUCCUACGGGAGAAAGCAGGGGAUCUUCGGACCUUGCGCUAAUAGAUGAGCCUAAGUCGGAUUAGCUAGUUGGUGGGGUAAAGGCCUACCAAGGCGACGAUCUGUAGCGGGUCUGAGAGGAUGAUCCGCCACACUGGGACUGAGACUCGGCCCAGACUCCUACGGGAGGCAGCAGGGGGGAAUAUUGGACAAUGGGGGAAACCUGAUCCAGCCAUGCCGCGUGUGUGAAGAAGGCCUUUAUGGUUGUAAAGCACUUUUAGCGA